rnacentral:lncRNA from 1 species
CCUAAAUAGGACUUUCAUAUUGAUAUAGCCUGGGUUUUGAUCAGGUAGUACUAUAUUCCCUUUAGCAGAUUGCUAUUCCGUUUAUGUUCAGAUAAUUUAGACACACUUUUUUGGUGUCCUUUCUCAUAUAAUAAAUAGUAAUUCAUUUUGUUUAACAAUAAAUGAAAAUAUAACUUAAGGAUGUACACCUCCGAGGAUCCAAAAAUUUCUAGAAUUAAACUUUUUUUCUUAACCUGAUUUUGGGGUUUAUAAGACUGUACAAAAAUAUUUAGAGAAGAAAAAAUCAUAUGGUGGUGCACUUCUUUUUAUGCUAAGACCUUUUGAAAUUAUCCAAUGUUGAUCUUUUCUCAUUUUUCAUCUUUAUUUACCUAUUUUUAUGGGCUUUUAUCUGGAAAAAA